rnacentral:rRNA from 1 species
UGGGGAAUCUUGCGCAAUGCGCGAAAGCGUGACGCAGCAACGCCGCGUGGGGGAAGACGGCUUUCGAGUUGUAAACCCCUUUCAGUUGGGACGAAGCUUCGUCGGUUAAUAGCCGGCUGGAGUGACGGUACCUUCAGAAGAAGCCCCGGCUAACUACGUGCCAGCAGCCGCGGUAAUACGUAGGGGGCAAGCGUUGUCCGGAAUCAUUGGGCGUAAAGAGCGUGUAGGUGGCCCGAUAAGUCUGCCGUGAAAGUCCAAGGCUCAACCUUGGGAUGCCGGUGGAUACUGUCGGGCUGGAGUCCGGAAGAGGCGAGUGGAAUUCCUGGUGUAGCGGUGAAAUGCGCAGAUAUCAGGAGGAACACCAAUGGCGAAGGCAGCUCGCUGGGACGGUACUGACACUGAGACGCGAAAGCGUGGGGAGCAAACAGG